rnacentral:rRNA from 1 species
CCUACGGGUGGCAGCAGUGAGGAAUAUUGCUCAAUGGGCGCGAGCCUGAACCAGCCACGUAGCGUGAAGGAUGAAUGCCCUACGGGCUGUAAACUUCUUUUAUAAAGGAAUAAAGUGAGGCUCGUGUGCCUUUUUGUAUGUACUUUAUGUAUAAGGAUAGGCUAACUCCGUGCCAGCAGCCGCGGUAAUACGGAGGAUACGAGCGUUAUCCGGAUUUAGUGGGUUUAACGGGAGCGUAGAUGGGUUGUUAAGUCAGUUGUGAAAGUUUGCGGCUCAACCGUAAAAUUGCAAUUGAUACUGGCAGUCUUGAGUACAGUUGAGGUAAGCGGAAUUCGUGGUGUAGCGGUGAAAUGCUUAGAUAUCACGAAGAACUCCGAUUGCGAAGGCAGCUUACUAAACUGCCACUGACAUUGAUGCUCGAAAGUGUGGGUAUCAAACAGGAUUAGAUACCCGAGUAGUC